UGAAGUGAAGCACGGAGCUCCUUUUCUACACGGACCUGCUGAGGACAGAAGAGAGCUGCUCACUGAGGAAGUUCAUGUCUACAAGCUCACAUUGAUGGUUGUGAAGGUGUGGAGGUGUGGACUCUGCUAUGAAUCAGGCUGAGGACCCAGAGGAGGGAGUCCCUCCCUCUGAAGCUCCUCUGUGUGGGGAACAUGACAGCCAGACCAAAGCUCAGAGGACCCAACAUGGACCUGGACCUGGACCAGGACCCAGCUGUGUGUCCAUGAAGAGUAACCGGUCUAUGAAUAAUCCUCUAAACUUCAAAGAUGUUGGUCCCUCUGUUGAUGCAAGUUCACAUCAGCGGAGAGGAAAGUCUCCGGAACCCAGAUGUUUGUCCAUGAAGAGUGAUCAGUCUAUUGAUCGAUAUAUUGACUUCAAAGAUGGACGCCGUUCUAAUGACCCAGAGAUCAGCAGAGGUCACAUCUGGAGACAGCUGCAGGUUUCUGAAGACAGAUGACUGGGACUGAACAUGUGAUUAGAAUAAACUCAGUGCUCUGUGGACCAGCUGACGUGGUCUCUGGACUCCAUGCAGAGGUUAGGAGAAAGUAUCGUCAGUAGACUCUGUGAAAAGGUCCAAAGACUAGUUUCAGAAGAUCUAAGGAGACUUCUAGAGGUCAGGAGUAGUUCCAUAGGACUUUGUACCCAGUGUUGGGCAAGUUACUGAAAAUCAGUAAUUUGUUACAGUUACUAGUUACUUCUUUUAAGGGUAGGCAUCAGGCCUAAGUGAUUGACCUACAGUAUUAACGCUAUCUAAAAGAGAAAACAAAGGUGCUUUGAGGUGCUGCAUAUAUGAUUGAAUAUGUGACGGAGGUUGUCGUGGCGCAGGAGGUAGAGCGGGUGCGCUGGGAAGCGCAAGGUUGGUGGUUCGACUACUGGCUGCACCGUGUCUCAAGUGUCCCUGAGCAAGACACCUAAUCCCUAAUUGCUCCCCGGGUAAAAUCCAUGGGUUUGGAUAAAAGCGUCUGCCAAAUGACCUGUAAUGUAAUUUUACAAAAGGUUUACAAAAUAGUUUAACAAACAUGCCUCAUAAGGCAAAGCUAAAUAGAGAUGAGUUGCAACAAACGUUAAAAUGGGCUAACAAAUCUCACCUCUGAGCAACGGCGUAAACAUAGUGUAGACAUUGGGGGGACCAGAUGAAUACCAUUCCCCCUAUUAUUUUUUUAGUUAAGUGCAUGACCUAAACAUCUAUAUCUAUAUACGAAAAUUUGCACAUUUAAAACAUAGUUUCGAGGACUACAUUGACCAUUUAAAUUCACAUCUAAAGGAAUAGUGUAAUUUCUCUGUAACAGAGUUGCUUACUAUUUUUCAGUACUACUGUAGCAAACAGGAUAGCUUCCAAUGGAAAAGGGAAGACCACUUACUUAGCUACAUACUUAAAAUGACUGUAAAUGUGCAAUACUGAAUUGCAUUAAUUUCACAUUAAUUUCUCAUCUGAUCAUCUGUGUGUCCAGAGCUUGUCUCUGUCAGGCCACUGCUUUUAUCUUCCUGUCUUUCUGUGUGAUGCCUGCAUGGUGACCACAUGUCAUUUUAUCAGAAAAACAGCGACUUGUGCUUUUAUAAGGAGUGAUGUCACGAGAGGCGCCGCCGCUCUCUCCGGGGUAGUUCAAAUAGUGCGAGGACAUCGGGUUCAAAAUGUAAACAAAGGUUUUAAUUUACGUCCUUCAGAUUAAACAGAAAACAAUCAAAACAGGGGGUAACUCAGGCUUCGGUCGAUCUUCGCCGGUAAAACUAAUGUCUUGUCUUUGGAGGGGAGGAGAAAACACCGUCCUCUCGGUCUCUCCUGCCUCCCGGAAUCCUUCUGUCUUGGUCUACUCUUCUGCAGCGGGCCCAAUCUGCAGCUCGUCUCUCCUCCUCUCAACGGUGUGUCUUCCGCCCUUAUGAAGGCCUCCCGGUCGUCAUACCCGACCAAACAGAAACUCAGAGCAUUCCCCUCAACACAUGAGGGGAAUGCUCUGAGUUUCUGGGUGGAGUUCCUAACUCCACCAGCAGAUGGAGCCAUAGUAGCCAUAGUAGCCCUCUCCGGUGAACGUAUCUCCCUUCCAAGACCCAGCCUCUCGUGACAUCACAGAGGCUACUCGUUUUAUUUGCUUACACAUUUAGCUCAGUAUCAAGUUACUUACUGUCUGAAAAAAAACGUGUAUGCUCGGCUGCUGGCACAAUUUUCUCCGCUUUUUAGUGUAACCUAAAAUCCUCCAUUACUCCACCUUAGUGUGUCAAACUCAUUUCAGGUUCGCGCCCGGUACUGCCCACUUUGACCGAACACGGGCCAAACCAUUAAAAUGAUAGGGAAGGGUGGAGGUGGCGAUCCGACCGACCAGCGGUACGAUCAAUAUAUGUACAUAGAUAUAGUUUACAUAUUCUCUGCUGUAUAUUGGGGGGGGGGGCAGAUUGGUACCUUUUCAAUAGGUUACGCCUAUGCCUCUGACCAUUAGCUACAACGUUGCUCGCUCUCAAACCAGUUAUUGUCCCUCAAGAGGAGAAGCUUCUCAAACUUAUGAUCUGAUUCUGUGGCACCCUGGACAUUUUUAAGGACUUCCAUUGUUUCUU
ensembl:lncRNA